GAGAGAGAGAGAGAGACCCAAAAAAUGAAUGCGUUUAAACGGGAAGCCUAGCAGAGCAAUGUUUCCGAAAGGGGGAUCUGCGCGAAUGUCUGUAUAUAGUGAACUUUGACACUACUAUUGAAACUGACACGUUUCUAUGGAGAUCGCUGCCUUAUAUGGAGCUCGUGUCAAGGAGCCAAGAGAAGGGCUGCUGGCAACUGAUAAUCAAAGGCGACUGACUGGUCAGAGCCCUGAAUUGGGGGGAGAGAAAAUGGGAGGCUAAGCUCUGAAAUCUGAGGCUGGGAGCCGGCUGGAGAGGAGAAUCCUUCAUCAUUUCUGAGAUCAGAAUAAACGCUUGAUUUUGUCCCGAAAUAAUGAAGAGAUUUUCAAUGAGUCCCUGGGCCAAGCCGUCUCUAUUGUAUAUUGCAUUGAUAAAAAGGAUGUUAUUGACUAUGCAACAGUGGGCUCCUUUCCUCUCUCUCCCUCUUUCCAAAUAAACUCUCGGUCCUGCCUCUUGGUCAGUGAAAAGGUGAAACGAAUAAGAUUAAAUCGGACAAAAAAAGCAAGCUCGGUAUGUAUAUCAUCCAGAUUUUACUCCCCAGACUGUGAAGAGACAGAGAGUAAAAGAGGCAGAGCGAGGCACGGAGAGAGAGGGAGAGAGAGAGAGAGAGAGAGACAGAGACACAGACACAGAGAGAGGCGGAAAGCCUGGGAGAAGGUGGACGGACCCAGCAGCCGCCGCCCGGCUCCUCCGCCCGGGCUGCGCCGGCCCCGGCUCCCCGGGACACCCCGGGACACCCCAGGCAAGAAAAGCAACGAGAUGGGGUCAGGCAACCUGGAUGCGUCGUCGGACGCAGGUCCCUGGGAAGAAAGGGGCUGCUGGAGUUCCACCUUGUGUAAAAAAGUCACUGGAAACAACGAGGGGCAACCGAAGAUGUUUAGCGUAUAAACAUUGAACUUAGGAUCAACAGCUUCUUCACUGAACAACAAACCUCUGUUCUACUUUUCAAGCAGAGCAGCAGAGACCCCGAUUCACAGAUUUUUUGCACAGAUGCCAAGACCAGCAUGCCUUAGGAGUGACAAAGAGGAGCUGUUGCCCACCUGCCCAGCUUGCAGCAUCAAUAGCAGGCACAAAGGGAAACGGCUGUGGUCAAGAGGAGGAUUCAGGAUUCACCGGGCCAGCGAGCGAAGAUGAAAGGGAGCACGGCUCCAGGGCUCAGGGCAUCCUUUCUGUUCCAGUCUCUGCUCCCAGGAUUGUUUCUGUCUUUUAUUUAAAGACUGUUUCAUGUCAGAGCACACAGUCUGGGGAGUGGGAUGACACAGUGGCAUCGUUUCACUGCUUUCUGCUGACCCACACAACAUGGACCGUGCCUUGCAAAAAGGCAAGCUGUCCUUCUAGCCCCUGAAUGUGACCCUAGGAGCGGGAAGACCACCUGGUCCUCCGGUUUGGGCUGAAUAUGUUGUUUUGCUGCUGUGAAAGCAUAGAAAGGUCUCACCUUGCUGCCAGUGCCACCGUCUCACAUUCUGAAAUUCAGAGAAACAAUCCCACCAUCUUUAUGGGUUAAGCAUCGACUGGGCUCCCGAGUCUCCUCAGCAUCGGAGCAUUUAUUGUAGGACGCCGCAUCCAGCCAUGAAGAGCUCCUUGCAGCAGAACAAGACGAUAAGGACAGACCUGCAGAUUUCCAGGUGAUUGUCUCCGGUGACCACGUUUGCGACCCUACGGAGUUCAAGAGCAAAAUGAGCAGAGAGUAGGCAGCUGCUUUCUUCCCAGGCACGAGUGCGUCGAUCUCCUCCCCUCAGCAUGAAGGUGAAUUAAAAUUGUACGAGCAAAUGGUGAGGAUGGAUAAUCACCUCUGCUGUCUUACUCUGGAUGUGUCCAUACAGCUGACUGGGAAGGAGAAGUCUGCUUGCCUGUCAAAAAGAUGUGGAAAUGUGCUGGCAUUCCAGCUGAAGACAUCAUUAUGAGUGAGAAAAUGCUCAAGGCUUUUUUCAAAGUGGGUGCUGAAACACACAUUUCUCUUCUUUGACUCCAGGGGAUGCUAACAGCUGCCCCAGCAGACAGGUAUUGCAAGGUCAAAGGCUAGCAGAGCUGUGCACCUUCAGGAUUUGACUGCCAGCAAAGUAGAUGGGUAGUUUCUCAAAACUAAUAAUAAAAAUAGCAACAAUGAUGAGAAGAAGACGGAGCUGACAACAAAAACGAAAAGGAACCCGCAAGAAGUGAAUUCUGGGUAGCGCAACACUUGGCAGAGCUGAUUUUAAUAUCUGACAGGUUGAGUUCACUAAUCUUUGCUAUUCAUAUUGACGUGAAACUUCAUACAGUUUUAGAGAUUUGUAUCUAUUAAGACAUGCAGCAGUGUUCCUACAACAUGGGAACAAGUUUGCUAGCGCCUGCCGGUCUUCUUCCUCCGUGAUAAAAAUUGAUAUGAACUGUUUUAAACGCCUAACAGAUAAUUACUCUCAACACUCAAUAAAGAAAGCUACAUCUUUAGAGCCUCCUUUAUCUUUAAAAAAUAAUAAAAAAACCCAAGCCCGAAACACACCAACAAGACAAAACAACAUUCUUCUCCCCAUUUCCCCCCCUCUCUUUUGUUUCUUUGAUUACUUGGAGCCUUGUAAUCAAACUAAGCUUAGUUUCGGGACCCUUGGGGCAGUAUCUCUUAGUUCCCUGUCAGCCUGCGUUGCAAAACAAUCAAUCUUGCUCUUGCGCUGGCUUGGUGGAAGUGCCACGACACCAGGAGUGCGAUGCUUUGCUCUUGCUGUGAAGCUUCGAUGACAAAAGUUUUUAUCAGAAGCUGACUGUAUUUAGGGUUAUGAAUAUGCAAUGACUCUCAUUAGUAUUGAAGCACCGGAGCACGGGCUGACAUCCCCCGCCACUUUUAGCUGCUGCAGAGUCGUCUAAUGAAUUGUCUUGCUCUUUCACUCGCACGGGCUUUGCUGUUACGGCUCCCCGUUCCAAGGGGAGUUGCCCAGUUUGAGAAUACUAUUGACGGCAGAAAUUAAUUGCCAAGGCCCGCUUUUGAUUUCGUUAAACAGUGUUGAGACAGUGCUUAAAUUGUCAAAAACAGAAAACCAUUAAACUCCACAGGAGACAGCAUCAUCGCGAGCGAGAGGACCCGCGUGUCCGUAUGCGGGGCCGUGCAGAAGCACACAGGUGUGGCACAGGUACGCCUACGGUCUUGUCAUCACACCCACGCAUGCAAACAUAAACAUCUGCAUCAGCGAUGGGUCUCAGAAACCUGACAUCCUGCUGAUUUAUCUGUUGUUUUUCCAACUAGAACAAGCGGGGAUAACGGAAAGUUCUCCAAAUAAGCAGGACUCCAACAUAUUGCUGUUUGAUCAACCCUUUAAUACUCUUUCUUUUCCCUUUGGGACCCUGCCAAACAUUUUUCAGCUCACACAUCUGCAGUCUUUGCGAAUAAGUUACUGAUAAGGAUGUUUCCAACAAAUGAUUAAGAUAUCUGGCUUGAUUUGUCGUAUUUGAGGAGAUGUGUAAGCUUGCAGAAACAAGUGGAAAUGACCCUUUUUUUCCCAAUUGGCUAAAUUAAGUAUUUUUUCCCCUAUUCAUCUGAAAUUUCUUCUGACAUAAAAGGAGCUUUUGUGGCUCUCUGCAGAUUGCGAAGGAUAGAGUAAAUUGAAACGGGUAAUAUAUUCCAAGAAGCGUAAGUAGCAUUCUGAAAGGUGUGUGCGUACUGCAAAUAAUAAAGGAUAUGAGGUUCUCCCAAGAAGAUGUCAGCCCCGCGCAGCUCUUUAUCCAUUUAAUCAGUAAUGGAAACGGUCCCCGUGCAAGGAAGGAGGAUCUGUUUAAUUUUUACUGCGAUUUUUGGCACCGCGGCUCUAACACGAGCUUGGUUUACCUCUUGACCCAACCCCAGGAGUGCCUGUUCUCAUCAGCUGGAGAAAAAAUAAACAUAAAGAACAUCUACAUGUUGGGAGUAUCAAAUACAAGAGCAGUUUAAAAUAAAUGCAGUUCUGACAAAAGUGGCUCAAGUAUCAUACAUCAAACACUUGUUACCUCUCUUGGCCUCAGUGAUUGCACGUGACUAAGAAAGAGUGAGUGAUAAAAUCUGAAGAAAGAUGAAACCAAUCUGGGCCUUUUUAAAGAUCAUCAAUCAUUCUGCGCAGCCAUGAUAUUAUUAGUUCCAGUAAGCCUUGUUCUUCCAUUUUAUGGACAUCAUAAACCCCCCACCCCUAGACCAAUGCUACCAUGGGAAAUCAUUUUUAUGGGCAGCAUCUUAGCGUGGGCCAAUCGGAUCUAAUCACAUAACAAGCUACUGAAUUAUUCAACGUUCUCCCUAAUUUUGCAUUCUUCCUGCACUUUGCUGUCACUGCAGGGUCUUAAAAGUAUGUGUUUUUACAAUAUUUAUUAAGAAGAUAACCAUACACAGGAAUUUUGCUUUCUCUAUGUCUUUCAAUGAUCGUUUGUUCCCUUAGAUUGUUGCAGUAUAUACAUUACUAUAUAGAGAAUAUUUUUUUCUAAAAGGAAUAGCAGUCUGCAAUGUGGCACUCGGAUUUAAACUCUUUCAGCUUUUGAAAUACCGAACGUAAGGACAACAAUAGUGAAACAAUUGUGUUCAAACAUAAAAUAUUCAGAUUUACUGAGCAAACUGUAACCAGCAUGUCUCUUAGCUGUUGCUAUGAAUACAGGGCUCACAUUGUAUAUGAAAAUAUUUCAGUUUUAAUUGCAAAUCUGUGCAGAGAUGAUUUGGGGUCCGUAAUUAGCACAUAAAUUCCAGACUUUGUGACUGCUGUGAAAACACACAUUAUUUAUGGAACGAUUAUCUAAAUAUAAUUCAGUGUUUUUUGCUUUCAACAACUACUGUAAAAGUCUGAUUUAAUAAAAUGUGAAAAAUUU